rnacentral:rRNA from 1 species
UACGUAGGGUGCGAGCGUUAAUCGGAAUUACUGGGCGUAAAGCGUGCGUAGGCGGUUCUGCAAGUCAGAUGUGAAAUCCCCGGGCUUAACCUGGGAACUGCGGUUGAAACUACGGAGCUAGAGUGUGGCAGAGGGGGGUGGAAUUCCACGUGUAGCAGUGAAAUGCGUAGAUAUGUGGAGGAAUACCGAUGGCGAAGGCAGCCCCCUGGGUCGACACUGACGCUCACGCACGAAAGCGUGGGUAGCAAACAGG